rnacentral:rRNA from 1 species
UACAGAGACUGCAAGCGUUAUUCGGAUUCACUGGGCGUAAAGGGUGCGUAGGCGGGUUUUAAGUCAGAGGUGAAAUCCUCGGAGCCUCAACUCCAGAACUGCCGUUUGAUACUGAGAAUCUUGAGUAUGGGAGAGGUGAGUGGAACUGCGAGUGUAGAGGUGAAAUUCGUAGAUAUUCGCAAGAACACCAGUGGCGAAGGCGGCU